rnacentral:rRNA from 1 species
CCCUACGGGAGGCAGCAGUAAGGAAUAUUGGUCAAUGGACGCAAGUCUGAACCAGCCAUGCCGCGUGAAGGAUGAAGGUCCUCUGGAUUGUAAACUUCUUUUAUAUGGGACGAAAAAAGGGCAUUCUUGCUCACUUGACGGUACCAUAGGAAUAAGCACCGGCUAACUCCGUGCCAGCAGCCGCGGUAAUACGGAGGGUGCGAGCGUUAUCCGGAUUUACUGGGUUUAAAGGGUGCGUAGGUGGGCAGGUAAGUCAGUGGUGAAAUCUCCGGGCUUAACCCGGAAACUGCCAUUGAUACUAUCUGUCUUGAAUAUCCUGGAGGUGAGCGGAAUAUGUCAUGUAGCGGUGAAAUGCUUAGAUAUGACAUAGAACACCGAUUGCGAAGGCAGCUCACUACGGGGUCAUUGACACUGAGGCACGAAAGCGUGGGGAUCAAACAGGAUUAGAUACCCUGGUAGUCCACGCCCUAAACGAUGGAUACUCGACAUUUGCGAUAUACUGUAAGUGUCUGAGCGAAAGCAUUAAGUAUCCCACCUGGGAAGUACGACCGCAAGGUUGAAACUCAAAGGAAUUGACGG